CACAACACAAGCGAAAAGUUGGCUUGGGUCGGGUCAGCGACAAGAUCAAACAAUUGCCUACGUACCAGCUGUCGCAGCUUUACAAAGCUGCGACAUGCGCUCUUGGAGGGCAAGAUGGCCGUGGUAACGUGAUACUAGUGAGGUUAGGGACCGAAAUUCGGGAUAUUAUGGCAGUUUUUUAGAAGAUAUUUGAUAUUUUUGGACUCAUCAUUGUGUAUUUGAGAUUCUCUUGACUUCUUCCAGUUAUCAUCGCAUCCAAGAAAUCGACUGGAAAACCAACAAAUAAUGUGUAUUUUAAUUAUUAAAAACUUACCUAUUGUUUAAAGUUGAAUAAAGUACAUUUUGCAUUGUGUUUUACAUUUUC
rnacentral:lncRNA from 1 species